CACGUAGGCACCAAGCGUUGUCCGGAUUUAUUGGGCGUAAAGAGCUCGUAGGUGGUUCGGUAAGUCGGGUGUUAAACCCCCAGGCUCAACCUGGGGACGCCACUCGAUACUGCUGUGACUAGAGUCCGGUAGGGGAGCGUGGAAUUCCUGGUGUAGAGGUGAAAUUCGUAGAUAUCAGGAGGAACACCAGUGGCGAAGGCGGCUUUCUGGACGGUAACUGACGCUGAGACGCGAAAGCGUGGGGAGCAAACAGG
rnacentral:rRNA from 1 species